ensembl:lncRNA
CUCUCUCUCUCUCUAACACUCACUCACUCACUCUCCAUCUCACUCUCUCUCUCCCUCUCUCACAUGCAUCCCCAUCUGCAUUGAUUGCAAUUGGUGGUUCAGGCUCUUGUCAAACAGCAUUACAUAUGUCCGUUGCCGGGACAGCUCUCUGACUGUGAGGGACUUGAAUGAAGUAAGCAGAGGAGGUGGUUGGCACGGCGGCUGACUCCGGGUUGAAGAAGCUAGUGAUGAGGGUAGAGGUCGUCAUCACGUGCAACAGCACUGAGGAGACAUGCUGGACAGCGCUUACUCUCAACACCUCCUGAUAAGAGACAUGCUGGACAGCUCUUAUUCUCAACACCUCCUGAUAAGAGACAUGCUGGACAGCCCUUAUUCUCAACACCUCCUGAUAGGAGACAUGCUGGACAGCUCUUAUUCUCAACACCUCUGUCUCCUUCACCCUAUAAGGAGACUUCAGAAAUUCAGGUUCAUGUUCACCACCACAAUUGCAGCAUUUAGGCUCAGCUGGCAUACGAUACUCCUCCCGUCUACAUAUACUUGACACAUGAUCAAAUAAUUAGCAUUUGUCAAACUGCAUGGGUUUGCGGACGAAGGCUCUCACAGGGUAUCUCAUUAAACCCAAAUAUACGUGAGAAGGGAGAGACUCUUCAUUAAAAAAAAAAUCAUAAAACCAUGCAGGUCAGUCGGUGUGCACCAACCACUUGAUCCAAUUCAUCACGUACUGCAAAUCCUUUUAAUUUACUUCUAGCGCCACCCCAGUGAUAACACUCUUGAUUGGCGCCCUGCUUCAAAGAUCCACACAAGACACAAUUCAACCCUAUAUCUUCUUGAGGUACAGAGCACGCUCCUUUUGUUGCAUAGAUACACAACAAAAAUAAUAAUAAGCCCACCGUUAACUCACAGUGAUUUCUGCCAGCAGAGGAGAAGUGGGUAGCUGCAGUUUAAUAUGGCGGCUGGAGUAUGUGUGAGUAUGUGUGCGUUUGUGUGAGUGGGUGUGUCUAAAGGAAAGCAGUGGGCAUGUGGAAAGGAGUGGGUGUGUCUAAAGGAAAGCAGUGGGCAUGUGGAAAGGAGUGGGUGUG